GAUCUGACCCAAACCAUUAAAAGCGACCCAUACGGAAGUACGAAGUUGUUGUUCACUGCGCUUGUACCAUUGAGCAGUGAGAAGAAUGAAACCAGGACUGGCGGCAGAUUCCAUCAUACCGAGAAGCACACGAAGAGCGAUAAAGCCAGGAUAGUUGGCAACUGAGGUCAUGCAAAGCAAGAAACCCCAAAUGACUAAGAAAACACACAAGGUCUUGGAUAAAGGAAAGCGCUGAAGAAGAAGAGAUGCAGGGAAUUCGAAGACAAGGUAACCCAAGUAGAAAGCAGUACCUGACCAACUAUACAUUUGACCUUCCAUCUUCAAGUCUUCUUUGAGACCCAUGAUAACGGCAUAGGAAUUUGAAGUUUUGUCCAAAAAUUGGAUGCAGUAUACUAGACACAUGACGGGGAAGAUUGUGCAAUCGAUUUUGCGUACCAAUCUACGCUCCGUUUCUGGAUCGAUCUCAUCGUAGUCGACAUCAAGGGCGUAAUUGAAAGCAGCAUCCACGCCUUUUGGCGAGAGAUCGCCAACGUCGACAUCGAGAAUUUCCUUAUUUUGGACACUCUCGGGAUCUUUCAGCUUUUCGUCUAUACUGAUGCUUGACAUUUUCUCGCUAGGCGCUUAAAUAUCUAAGCGGGAUUAUGGUAGUAUGUCUAAAAGUAGUAGAGAAAGGAAAGGGAAAAAAGAAAAAAGAAUUAAAAUUAGAGGAGGGAAAAGAGAAUGAAAUUUAGUAAAAGCUAUUUUCGCCAACACUUAUAAUGAGUGUAGUCGGGUUGUUUUUCUUAUUGAGGAUCGAUAUACUAAUGAAAUUGGCUUGUAGCAUUGCAAGGUGAUCCCU